UUAAUGGAUGUUGAUAGACAGAUAGUUUAAUGGAUGAAGUGAAGAAAAAGAAGUGAAAGAAAGUGGGAAAGAGAAAAGUGAGCUAUCCAGUUCAAUGGAGAGAGACACAGAGAAGAGGUUCCAUUGAAAUUGCUGCAGUCAGUGAGAGAGCGCAGGUGCAGUUGAUUGCAUGAACACAAAUA